CCUACGGGGAGCUGCAGUGAGGAAUAUUGGUCAAUGGGCUUACGCCUGAACCAGCCAAGUCGCGUGAGGGAAGACUGCCCUAUGGGUUGUAAACCUCUUUUAUAAGGGAAGAAUAAAUGCUACGUGUAGCAUGAUGCCUGUACCUUAUGAAUAAGCAUCGGCUAACUCCGUGCCAGCAGCCGCGGUAAUACGGAGGCUGCGAGCGUUAUCCGGAUUUAUUGGGUUUAAGGGGUGCGUAGGCGGUUUUUUAAGUUAGUGGUUAAACGUCGGGGCUUCACCUUGAUUUGCCAUUAAUACUGUAAGACUCGAGUUCAGACGAGGUAGGCGGAAUAAGUUAAGGAGCGGUGAAAUGCUUAGAGAUAACUUAGAACUCCGAUAGCGAAGGCAGCUUACCAGACUGCGACUGACGCUGAAGCACGAGAGCGUGGGUAGCGAACAGGAUUAGAUACCCGAGUAGUC
rnacentral:rRNA from 1 species